rnacentral:rRNA from 1 species
ACAUGCUUACAACAUAGUGUUAAUGCACUGGAUGCCAUUAGAACUCCGCGGUUAAGCAUGUUCAAGCUAGAGUACUAUUGGGAUGGGUAACUGCCUGGGAAGUCCUAGUGUUUUACAUGCG